GGGGUGGGGGUGGGGGAUUCCCCACCUGAAUUUGUAUCCAGUUGCCUAUAAGGCUUUGCAGCUCAUUGCAAGAAUAGGUUCAGAUACCAAGAAAACACUCAAUCUGAGAGAGGUGGUGAGAAAUAGCCAUGCAUGGUCUCUCCUGUACUUUCUGCCAAAAUAGCAGGCUUGUCGAUCAAAUGCAUAAAAAGAUAACAUGCAGGUGAUCAGGCUUCGUUAGUUAGGCCCAUGUGUCUAAAAGGAUAAACUGGUCCCUCGCUUCUACUGUUCAAAUUUGGUAAUCUUUCUCGACUCUAAUUAGUAUAUUUUGAGCUGUUAUUUUAUUCGACCAAACGAAUACCUCCCUAUUCAAUAAUUUUUCUGUAGCA